ACGUAGGAGGCGAGCGUUAUCCGGAUUCACUGGGCGUAAAGAGCACGUAGGCGGCCUUGCAAGUCAGUUGUGAAAGCCUUCCGCUUAACGGAAGAACGGCAUCUGAUACUACAGGGCUUGAGUACGGGAGGGGAGAGUGGAACUUCUGGUGGAGCGGUGAAAUGCGUAGAUAUCAGAAGGAACGUCGGCGGCGAAAGCGACUCUCUAGACCGUAACUGACGCUGAGUGUGCGAAAGCUAGGGGAGCGAACGG
rnacentral:rRNA from 1 species